ensembl:lncRNA
AUGUCACCAAAUCUAUUUUGUAGGUUUGCAAGAACUGUUUCUCUAGUUUGCAGAUAUCUAAGAUCUUCAAAACAAUGCUGAACAGAAGUGGUGAGAGCUGACAACCUUUCCUUGUUUCCGAUCUUAAAGAUUCCUCAUGUGAGUGAAUCCAUACAGCCAAACUCGUCCUCUCACCCUCUUCAGUGUGCCUGGUGUUGGAUCUGUUUUUCCUCUGGUGCCGUGUGGACCUUCUUCACCGGACUCCUGCAUGGCGACAAAGGCACUCUCCUCUGUGGGUGACUGUCAUAACUGCUGCCCUUUGGUGGAAAUACAAGAGAAAACUCCUAUCUCACCAUUUUGCUGAC